AACGAACGCUGGCGGCAUGCCUAACACAUGCAAGUCGAACGAGACCGCCGGGCUUAUUGGCGCAACGCUGCGUAACGCGUGGGAACUUGCCCUUAGGUUUGGAAUACCUCUCCUAAAGGUGUGCUAAUACAGGAUAAUCUCUUCGGACCAAAGAUUUAUCGCCAUUGGAUGGGCCCUCGUUUGAUUCGCCGGUUGGUAGUGUAAAAGCCUGUCAAGGAGUUGAUCCAUAGCUGGUCUGAGAGCAUGAUUAACGACACUGGGGCUAAGACACGGCCCAGAAUCCUACGGGGGGUUGCAGUGGCGGAUAUUGGACAGUGGGCGGAGGCACGAACCAGCCAUGUCGCGUUAGUGGUGAAUUGCGUAGUGUUGUAAAUCAAUUUGAGCCGGGAAGAUAAUGACGGUACCGGGAGAAUAAGCUCCGGCUAACUACGUG
rnacentral:rRNA from 1 species